rnacentral:rRNA from 1 species
AUUGAACGCUGGCGGCAUGCCUUACACAUGCAAGUCGAACGGUAACGGGCCUUCGGGUGCCGACGAGUGGCGAACGGGUGAGUAAUGUAUCGGAACGUACCCUUCAGUGGGGGAUAACGUAGCGAAAGUUACGCUAAUACCGCAUAUUCUGUGAGCAGGAAAGCAGGGGAUCGCAAGACCUUGCGCUGAUUGAGCGGCCGAUAUCAGAUUAGCUAGUUGGUGAGGUAAAGGCUCACCAAGGCGACGAUCUGCAGCGGGUCUGAGAGGAUGAUCAGCCACACUGGAACUGAGACACGGUCCAGACUCCUACGGGAGGCAGCAGUGGGGAAUUUUGGACAAUGGGGGCAACCCUGAUCCAGCCAUGCCGCGUGAGUGAAGAAGGCCUUCGGGUUGUAAAGCUCUUUCGGCCGGGAAGAAAUCGCACGGGCUAAUACCCUGUGUGGAUGACGGUACCGGAAUAAGAAGCACCAGCUAACUACGUGCCAGCAGCCGCCGUAAUAC